GCUUAUAAAAUGUUUCCCUAUGACUUUUACAAACAUCCCUAAUGUUAUUUAUCUUUCCUCCUUCCUCUCCCUCUGUAUUGCCCUCUCUCUCUACUCCCCAGUUAAAAUCCCCUUUGUAGUUAAAGCCCCCCCACCCCAUCAUAGCACCUGUGUCCGGCUAUCCACCUUUCUAUACCCAUCCACAAUGUUCCCCUUUUACUUUCCUGGCUUCUCUGGUUACUUCAGGUUGUAUACUCAGAUCUAAAGAUUUGGGGCUAGGAUCCACAGAUAAGAGAACAGGUAAUGCUUGUUUUUCUGGGUCUGAGUUACCUCAGUAUAACAUUUUCUAGCUCCAUCCAUUUAUAUGCAAAUUUCAUGAUUUCCUUUUUCUUUACAGCUGAAUUGAGUUGCAUUGUGAGUAUGUACCAUGUUUUUAUUAUUCAUUCAUCAGUUGAAGGGGAUUUAGGUUGUUUCCACUUCUUAGCUGUUGUGAAAAGUGUCAAUGAAUAUGGCUGAACAAGUAUCUCUUUAAUAGGAUACAGAAUCCCUUGGAUAUAUAUAUACCAAGGGUAAUUAUCUUCGUGUUGUGUGUGCACGUGGACAUGCAUGUACCAUGGUGCAUGUGUAGAGGUCAGAGGACAAUCUCUGUGUCAAUCAUCACCUUCUACCUUGUUUGAGACAAAGUUUUGUUCAUCAGGCUGCCUGGGCUGUGAACUCUUGGGGAUUCUUCCGUCUUUGCUGCCUAACUCACUGUAGAUGUGCUGGGAUUAUGGAUGCAAGCCACUGCACAUGGUUUGACCUGGGUGCUAGGGAUCUGAACUCUGUUCCUCAUGCUUGUGUGGCAAACGGUUUACUCAUUGACCCCUCUCUCCCGUCCUUGCAUAUUUUGGUGGUAUCUUUAUAUAUAUGUUAAGACUUCUUUAUAAUUUUUUAUUUGCCUUCUUAUCAUUAUUAUUAUUAUCAUUUUUAAUUAUUGUUAUGUUUCAUGCAAUAUGUUUUGAUGAUGUUUUUCCCUCUCCCAACUCUUUCCAGAUCUUCCCCAUCUCCCUACCUAUUCAACUUUAUUUUUUUCUUCCUCUUAAAAAAACACCACAAAAACCCAAAAAUGAAAAUCAAAAUAAAGAAUCAGCAAGAAAAAAUGCCAAAACAAAACAAAAUGAAAUAACCACCCCCAAAGAUCCCCAACAACCCAAACCCAUGAAUUUUGUUUUGUGUUGGUCAAUUAUUGGGCCUGAGGCCUGCCCUGGAGUGUGGUUUAUAUACCUAGUAACACUCCAUAGGAGAAAACUGAUUUGCCUUUUGCCAGCAGGUAUCAAUUGCAAAUAAUUUUUUGGUUAGGGGUGGUACCCCAUGUUCACUCCCCUGUCUCAGUGCUGGGACCCUAUCUGUUCUCCUUCUUCUCUCACUCCUAUAUCUCUCCUCUCAGGUUUCUCCUUCUAUUAAUUCUUUCUGCCCACCAGCCCCGCCUAUCCUUUCUCCUGACUUGCUAUUGGCCGUUCAUCUCUUUAUUAGACCAUCAGGUGUUUUAGACAGGCACAGUAACACAGUUUCACAGAGUUAAACAAAUGCAACAUAAACAAAAGUAGUAUACCUUAAAAUAAUAUUCCCCAGCAAAUUCUAGAGUUUUAUUCAAGUAUUACUUAAUGAUAGAGAACAAAGGAUAGUUGGAUUGAUUUUUAUAUUAGUUCUUUGGUUUCUUUGUGUUAACUUUGUCUUCUGAUUUAAUAGAAUCAAAAUUAGAUACAUAUGUCUCAAUGAAGAGAAGCACUGUAGAUAUUGUUGUGUCCAAACCCUCGUCAGCUCAGCCACAUGGCAUGAGGCCUGUUUCUUACAGCUUAUUUGAUCAUGGUGUCUAAACUCCACACAGGCCAGGACUGGGUUCUGUGUCUUGUGGGACUAUUUCUUCCCCAGCCACAACUGAGGGUAUGUAGGAAGAAGUAUUUUCAAACAAGUAGUGCAUAUCUACACUUUUGUGGAGGCUUGAUAGUGAUCUUAUUAGAUCUCCGAGGCCCUAUUCUCAAUACCCCAUGGGCAUUCCCAAAGUCCUCUGAGUGUAUUACUUACUUGUCAUUGUGAUUUCAUGGAGAUCUUGUUUCCUGAUUUUAACUAAAUUCUAUGUGUAUAUAUUUCACCCAUUUCUACUGUAUUCAUUUUGCUGAAUUAAGUCCUAGUUGCUGGAAGGGGGAGGAUUUUAGUGUGCUGUCAGUAUGCUAUUCUGAUACUCAAUUGAAAUUGGUAAAGUGCAUUCCAUUUUCCUAUAGUGAAGUUUGUUAGGGUUAAAAAGGGUUUGCUAUACAAUUGACUUCUUGGGAGGCAUAGAAUUUAAAUUCAGAUGAUAGACCCAUCUUUCCCCAUAGAAUAUCCUGAACCAUAUGUUCUUCUAGAGUUGACAUCUCACUUGGCCAUAACUGCCAACUUCAGGUGACCAUUAGCAGGCUCUUUCCAGAUUGGAGGCAAAGGAUUGUAGUGGCCCCAAGUCCAAUCAUGCAUGUCUCCAUCACAAGAUAGUCAAUGGGGAGGCGAGUUGUAGGACAGAGUAUUUAUAUUUUUAUUGGAGGACAACUGUUUAAUUCAUUGGGAGUGAGGCCAAUUUCCAUUUCACUCAUUAUGCAUGUAAAAUUUCGUAUGGGAACAUGAGUUAAUUGGCACCAUAUUUCUGAUGUGUUUCAACUGUGUUGAGGGACCCUUUAUAGAUCAGAUCCCUUGUAGCUGCCCUAUGACCCAUCUUUUAAGUCCAGCUUGACUUUCUUCUUUGAGUUUCAAGUCAUUUUGCUGUGAAGCCUACAGUUUAAUGAAAGGAAAAUGCCAUCCGUGGCUUUUGCCGAAAUGGAUGUGACGAGCCUUUGAGUUGGUGGACUGUCCUUGUAGUCUUUUCUUGGUAGCAGUUAGUGUAAUGCGAUCUUUUCAUUCUAUUAAUAAUGUGUUCUGCAUGGUCACGUUCCUGGUUAAUUAGACUUACAGUUUUCAAUUAACAGCAUUUUUUGAUGAUACAUUAUUAUCCUUAUUAGUGAGGUCAUAGACUGUAUUAUAACAAAGACUGAAGACUCUAUUGUCAGCAUAAUCUUGAAAGAGCCAUUUAACUUAUGAAAUGUAUCCGGUGAAGGGACUUCAUGCUUGGCUUGAUGUAUAAUUUGACCCCUGUAAAGAACCAAAUGAUUCCUUUUUUCCCCUAUUCAUUUCAGAGUGUCCAGCACUUGAGAGAAUAUGGAUAUUUUUCUCAGUAAAGAUGAAUAACACUGCCAGAAAAUGAAAUUCAAAUUUUAAAAUUUUGAGCAGAUGAGCAGGCAGAUAUUCUUAUUCAACAAUUUAUCUUGUCUUUGGAUGAAAUUUAUAGUUCUAUGUGAAACUGAUUAACUCUAUUAAAUUUUAAUUAUUGUUCUAAAAUCAAUACUCUUCUGCACUUCAGGCAAUUUCAUUCACUCAUCUGAAUAAAGAGGUGGAUUUGGGUGGGAAACAAUCUUUUAGUUGACUUUAAAAAUACUCUAGUAUGGAUUGUUGUUGUGCAUUUUUUCUUUGUUUUAAAUACAAAAAAAGUUAAAGCAUGUGAUGGGUUUGUGAUACAUUUUUUAAAGUAAGCCAAGUCAAAGAAUUUUAUUAAGAAAUAAUGCAGUUUUAGGGGCUAUUGUGGGGAUUAACAAGGCAACUCCAUGUAGGUAAAAAGGAGGUUUACUUUGGGGUAACUUACAGCCAGUAAAGGGGUUGGUUACAGCAUCCGGGAGAGGUGAGGUGUAGUCCAGCAGGCUUCUCUGGAGAACUCUGCUCAGUCUGCCAUCCAGCAUCCAGGAUCAUCAGAAACCAAGAGACCUGGCACAUCCAGAUCUUGGGUCUUAAGCGCUCCUGGCUCGGCCCCGCCCCAGGGGCUUGUCAUAGGUAGGUGUGGCAGUUACCAGAAGCCUCACUAGGGGUAGUACUUCCAGGUCAAAGCUGGAACAGCUAAGGGGUAGAGAGAGGGCUCAGCACUUGAGCGCACUGGCUGUUCUUCCAGAGGGCCCAGGCUGAGUUCCCAGCACCCCACACAGGGCGGUUCAGAACCAUCUGUAACUGCAGUUCUAGGGGAUCUGACGCCCUCUUCUGCCACUUGCAUAAAUAAUAAAAUAAUAUUUUAAAAAAGAGUAUGUUCUCAAGAGGCGGGGGAGUGAGCAGAUCAGGAGAAGCUUAGACGUUCAAAUGGUAAUGAUGUCGUACAACGCAGACCCUGUACCACAGGCUGUUUGCGUCUGUGUAAUACGGACUUGCUCAGAUAGGUCCAGUUUAUCACGAGUCACAGGUCGCCUUCAGUCAUGCUGGAGAGCCUCUGUACCCACGCCAGCAGCGCCAGCCAGUCUUAGUUGGCCUUGGCUGGGGGGUUUGCAGCCUUCCUCUUUGCCAACCCAUUUUUUCUUACAGGCUAAUUUCUCAGCUUCUUCGUAAGGCCCCCCAGAUCUCACUCUCUUCUCUUCUCUCCUGCCUCAACUCUACUGAGAUUUGUGGUCCCAGAAAUCUUUUCAGGGAGCUAGAGGAUGGUCUACCUUCUUAAAGUUCCUGCUAUUGAGUACUGUAGCCUCUGGCCCAGAAGAAUGAUGAAACUUUCCUUCCUGUUCUAUCAAACGGCUGGAAACCAGGCUCUGGAUCCCUGCAGCAGGAAGUGGUCGGAACCCUUGCAUCACGGAGUUCAGUCUGCAGCUGAUGUAUCCUCCCGGCGACUUCAACUGGUACCAGCAGCUACUGGGGUCGUGUGGGCACCCACCAUUUCUGUCCCUGGAUGAGGAAUCUCACGGACAAACAGACAGCAGGACUGGAGGACUGCUGACUAAAAAGAAGGAGGAAACGUUGAGUUGUUGUAUUUAUUUUCUCACUGCUGUGAGCUGACAGGAAGCCACUUGAGACUGAAAGCCUCUGAGUCCUCAUCCAAAUGGAUCUCAGCUGAACUGUGCUGCUCAAAAGCCUAAAAGCUUAACCAGGCUCACGUCUUACAUACCUUUCUGCUUCCUGCCAUCACUUCCUGGGAUUAAAGGUGUGUGUCACCAUGCCUGGCUGUUUCCAGUCUGACUUUGAACUCAGAGAUCCAGACAGAUUUCUGCCUCCAGAAUACUAAGAUUAAAGGUGUGCUUCAGCAGGGCACAGAUUUUAUCAGUUUAAACUGCUGCCGUAUUCAGUGUUUGUGGCAAAGGAAUCCUUGACAGACUGACGAAAGCUAGAGCUGAUGGCAUAUUUGAUGUGACCAGUGGCCUUGAGUUCCUGCCUUAGUUUCUCUGCAAUGAUGGACUGGAACUUGAAAUUGUAAGCUGAGUAAACCUUUUCUUCCUGAAAUUGUUUUUUUGUCUGGGUAUUUUAUCACAGCAAUGGAAAUGAAACCAGGAUAGUGGUGUAUACAUGUGUGUAUGU